rnacentral:misc_RNA from 1 species
UUGAAAUUAUAGGCGAGGGUUGUAGCUGGCCUCUCGGGGCAUGUGCACGCCCGAGCCCUUAAUCCACACACACCUGUGAACCUAUUGUAAGGGCCCGUGAAAAGGCCUUUACGUCUUUAUCACCAACUCUGUAUUCAUAGAAUGUAAUCCAUAUCUUCGCCUUAACAAGCGUCGAUAAACUUAUA